rnacentral:rRNA from 1 species
CCUACGGGUGACAGCAGUGAGGAAUAUUGGUCAAUGGGCGGGAGCCUGAACCAGCCAAGUCGCGUGAGGGAAGACGGUCCUAUGGAUUGUAAACCUCUUUAGGCGGGGAGCAAUGCCGGGCACGCGUGCCCGGAUGGCGAGUACCCGCAGAAUAAGCAUCGGCUAACUCCGUGCCAGCAGCCGCGGUCAUACGGAGGAUGCGCGCGUUAUCCGGAUUUAUUGGGUUUAACGGGUGCGUAGGCGGAUUUUUAAGUCAGCGGUAAACUGUGCGGGCUCAACCCGGGCCGGCCGUUGAAACUGGGGAUCUUGAGUGGGCGAGAAGUAUGCGGAAUGCGUGGUGUAGCGGUGAAAUGCAUAGAUAUCACGCAGAACUCCGAUUGCGAAGGCAGCAUACCGGCGCCCGACUGACGCUGAGGCACGAAAGCGUGGGGAUCGAACAGGAUUAGAUACCCUUGUAGUC